rnacentral:rRNA from 1 species
GCAGCAGCCGCGGGAAUACAGAGGGUGCAAGCGUUAAUCGGAAUUACUGGGCGUAAAGCGCGCGUAGGUGGUUUGUUAAGUUGGAUGUGAAAUCCCCGGGCUCAACCUGGGAACUGCAUCCAAAACUGGCGAGCUAGAGUAUGGUAGAGGGUGGUGGAAUUUCCUGUGUAGCGGUGAAAUGCGUAGAUAUAGGAAGGAACAUCAGUGGCGAAGGCGACCACCUGGACUGAUACUGACACUGAGGUGCGAAAGCGUGGGGAGCAAACAGGAUUAGAUACCCCUGUAGUCCCUGUCUCUUAUAC